UAAGGUACUUUAAUUAUAGCUUCUUUAAUUCCAAGGAGAGCUCCGCUUGGAAAACAGAGGGACAAAUUGGAUGCAGAUCUGCUUGUUCUGAUACCUAAGCAUGGCUUGGAAAAUGAAUUACCAGGCCAUUUCCAG
rnacentral:lncRNA from 1 species